UAACUGUGCCAUAUAACUUCCAUCAAGGU
rnacentral:piRNA from 1 species